rnacentral:rRNA from 1 species
CAUGACUCUCGACAUUGGAUAUCUUGGCUCUUGCAUCGAUGAAGAGCGCAGCGAAAUGUGAUAUAUGGUGCGAAUUGCAGAAUCCCGUGAACCAUCGAGUUUUUGAACGCAAGUUGUGCCCUAGGUCAAUUGGCUGAGGGCACGCCCGCCUGGGCGUCAUGU